GGGUCCUUAGCUCAGUUGGUAGAGCGCUGCCUUUGCAAGGCAGAUGUCGGGAGUUCGAAUCUCCCAGGAUCCA
rnacentral:tRNA from 1 species